UGUGGAAGUCACAUAUGUGGAACUAGAAUUUGAUCUAGUCCUGACUGGUUUCUGGACCCAGACUCUUUCCAUCACACCAGCAGAUCUCAAUAUCUACAGAGGUUGUGUAUGCCCUGGGGCCUGGGAUCAUCCUAAGAGGGACAAUUUCACAGUCUGUAGCCUCCUGAAGCCUCAACGCCCUCAAACCAAGAGGUCAGCUGGUCUGGCUUUCCUGACUUCCCAGAUGCUAUCAUCCAGAUUCCCUUCCUCCUGAAGGAAAAUCCCUGAAGACCCUUGCUAAGUCCCAACCCCCACUCCAGGCUCCUCUCUCUCAUUGGGUACAGCCACUAAGAUUUGCUGGUGGAUUUGAUAUGGAGAGUGAGAUAGAAGAGUCAAAGAUGACACUAAGGUUUACAAUCUGAGUAAACGGCCGGAUGGGACUGCUACUUACUGAGAAUGAGACAAGCUUUAGGAAACAAAGACAUCAACUGAGAAGGAGGAUGGAGAAGGCAGUGAUGGAAUUCAGAAUAGGAGGCAGGAACAGUCAGCCAGAGGACUGGGGAAAUGAAUGGAUGAGAAAAUGUAAUAGGAUAGCUUCCUUGAGAUGUUGUUACCCAGAGCACUCAGCAGCACACCUUCUGCAUGGAAAUCUCAUCACCAGAGUCUCUUUCCUGGGGAUCAUGGCCUAUGACAGAUGCUAACAGAACUGGUCCCAGGAAGCAAACUCUAAAACGGGAUUUUGGAGCUGCGUUACAAACCAGGCAACUGACAAUGAAAACGUCAUCACUGGUGGCUCUUGGAGGCUUGGAGAACGUGAUGGCACAUACUCAGUGAAGUAGAAAUCCCAGAACCGUCAUGGCAGAUGGUGAAAGAAGAAGGAAUCAAAAGACUCAAGAGAAGUGGCUUCAGAGCAAUCUUACUUUGGAUUUUCAGAUUUAAUUUCAGUGAAAUUCAGUGAGCAUCACCUGAUGUCAGCAUGUGAGGCACAACCUGGAAGGCUGAAUCACAAUUUACUGCUAGGGGGUCCUGCCAA